rnacentral:rRNA from 1 species
UACGUAGGGGGCGAGCGUUGUCCGGAAUCAUUGGGCGUAAAGCGCGUGUAGGCGGUUCGGUAAGUCUGCUGUGAAAGUCCAGGGCUCAACCCUGGGAUGCCGGUGGAUACUGCCGAACUAGAGUGCGGAAGAGGCGAGUGGAAUUCCCGGUGUAGCGGUGAAAUGCGCAGAUAUCGGGAGGAACACCAAUUGCGAAGGCAGCUCACUACCCAGAUAUUGACACUGAGGCACGAAAGCGUGGGGAUCAAACAGG